AGUAAGAGGGGAUCAUGCACGGCUUCCCACAAGGCUGGCUUUUCUGGUUAGACUACAUCUCCAGUAAUGCUCGAUGGAUAUGGAUUCCUACAGUGCCUUCCUCCCUUUAUCUAGCAGAGAGAGGUAAGUGUGGAAAGGAAAUGCUGAGACAGUUGAGAGCCCAGUACACAAAUAAAAGCAUUCAAACAAUUUUCAACAGAUCUCAUUGAUCUGAGUGUUUGUCAGGUUUCAUUUUUUUCCAUACUUCUGCUGCAAAACCCAAGUAACUCUCUCACUGAAUCCCCUGUUCUUCUUACCUCUUGAUUCUAAGAGGUGUGGUUAGAUUCAACAGUUUCAGUAAGGAGAAGAAUGUGUGAGAAAACAUUAAGCUCUUGUUUCUGUGCUCUCCAGCUCUAAAUCCUUCUCAGAAUCCUACCUGCAUAUAAUAUGCUAUGCUUUUACUCUUGCAGUCUUUGAACAGAAAACACUUCUUUCUUAAAUUUCACCAGUAGCUUUUUGUCUAAAAAAGAGCAACAGAAAAAAUUUUCUACCCUUCAAGACACAG
rnacentral:lncRNA from 1 species